rnacentral:sRNA from 1 species
UGAUGUCAGGGUCAAAAGGUCAAAAUCCGAUUGUGCUUGCACAAAGAGGAUUGAGACCUUGGGACCCUGACAUCAUAAAAUUUCCACGACUCGAUAAAAAUAUGAGUUGUGGAAAUUUUUUGGUCGUUGCUUAUAACAAAGCUACAAUGCAGCU